UAUUCGCGUAUUGUUCUUUGUAAUAUAUGCAGUUAUAGAUUAUAUACAUUUUUUGUCAUGUGCAAGAUAUAUGUCAGAAAUAUUUGUAUAUGUAGAUUCCUAAUGUAAAGAUGUAUUUUAGUAUACAUUAAAUUAAUAAUAACGAUAUGGAAAAGGUUCUUCCUCUAAUUUUUUUUUUCCAAACAUAUUCAGUUGACAUAGGAAAUGAGUUACCAACAACAGAACUUAACUUUUACAACAUAAGAUUUAAUUUUAGACUUACAGGUUGUGAAGCGGCGUAGAAUUACAUUUGUAAUGUGAAGAUGUAUUUUAGUAUACAUUAAAUUAAUAAUAAUGAUAUAACAAAAGGUUCUUUCUCUGUUUUUUCCCCAAACAUAUUCAGUUCAUAAAGAAAAUGAUUUACCAAGAACAUAACUUAACUUUCACAACAUAAGAUAUAAUUUUAGACUCACAGGUUGUGAAGCGGCGUAGAAUUCUCACCUAUCAGAAUGGAUGCAAGCCAUGCCGCUGUUUACAGGUUGCAAAGCAGUGUAGAGUUCGAAGGUUUCAGGGAAUUUGAGGUAUAUUAUGGUGUUCAAACUCGUGGAGAAAGGCUGCAUUUUAUGUGCACUCAGAAAAGCACUUUCAAAAAAGAAAGGUCCGUGACUACAAUAAUUAAAGCAUUAGUAUGAGACAAGUUCUCUUAACAUAUUUUCCCGUAACUUGCGGUAUUGUGUUCCUUUUCAUUGUCAGUUAAAUAUUAUGUUAUUUAUAUGUUUUGGAAUAUUGUGUUUGGUGCCCGACGUUACCCGUUCGAAAUGAUAUAAUUAUAGAGUUUUUUAUAAAAA